rnacentral:rRNA from 1 species
AGAACACCAAAGCUGUAGAUGUCGGAUUUCAUGGUGAGUUUGCCACUCACCACGUAAUCAGGGGCGCAGUAUCCAUAGGUACCCAUGACCCUGGUAGACACAUGAGUCCUGUCACCAACGGGCCCAACUUUUGCCAGUCCAAAAUCGGAGAGCUUUGGGCUGAAGUCCUCAUCCAGCAGAAUGUUGGCAGCUUUCAUGUCGCGGUAA